UAAGACAGAGGCCCCGAGCGUUAGGCGGAAUCACUGGGCUUAAAGCGUGUGUAGGCGGGCCCGUAAGUACCUUGUGAAAUCCCACGGCUCAACCGUGGAACGGCUGGGUAUACUGCGGGUCUUGGGCCAACUAGGGGCAGCCGGAACAAGCGGUGGAGCGGUGAAAUGCGUAGAUAUCGCUUGGAACGCCGAAGGUGAAAACAGGCUGCUGGGGUUGCGCCGACGCUGAGACACGAAAGCCAGGGGAGCAAACGGGAUUAGAUACCCCGGUAGUCCUGGCCCUAAACGAUGUCCACUAGAUCGCGGAGCGGUUUGACCCGCUCGCGGUCGGAGCAAAAGUGUUAAGUGGACCGCCUGGGAAGUACGGUCGCAAGGCUA
rnacentral:rRNA from 1 species